AUUGAACGCUGGCGGCAGGCCUAACACAUGCAAGUCGAACGAGUGGCGGACGGGUGAGUAAUGUCUGGGAACCUGCCCGAUGGAGGGGGAUAACUACUGGAAACGGUAGCUAAUACCGCAUACCAUCGGAUGUGCCCAGAUGGGAUUAGCUAGUAGGUGGGGUAAAGGCUCCCCUAGGCAACGAUCCCUAGCUGGUGUGAGAGGAUGACCAGCCACACUGGAACUGAGACACGGUCCAGACUCCUACGGGAGGCAGCAGUGGGGAAUUUUGGACAAUGGGGGAAAGCCUGAUGCAGCCAUGCCGCGUGUAUGAAGAAGGCCUUCGGGUUGUAAAGUACUUUCAGCGAGGAGGCGGUACCCGCAGAAGAAGCACCGGCUAACUACGUGCCAGCAGCCGCGGUAAUAC
rnacentral:rRNA from 1 species